CGGAGACGCCGCGAUCCCCUCGCCCUACCCAAAUCGAACGCCGCCGCCGCUCACCUCCAUCGCCGGCCACCUCCCCUCCGCCGUCCACUCCUCCACCCAACCAACUUCCACUCGCUCACGAGCCCCACGCGCAAGAUCGACGGCAGCCGCCAUGGACUCGCGAAGCAGUGAGGCUGAGCCCCCAGGAACCACUGCGUCGCGGCGGCCUUUUCGCCGGCGCGCGCGUGCAACGCUACGACGCUGCGCGGCGCUCCGUCGAAAUCGCCGCCUGCGUCGCGUGCGUGGACGGCGGGUGGGUGCUUCACGCCGGCGAGGUGCUGCCGGCCAUCCGGACGCGGCGGCGCAGCUCCACCGUGGCCCACGCGGCGCCUUGUUCCGGGUCGUCGCCCUGCAGAGCAGCAGGAGGAGGAGCGAGGCGUCGUAGCAGUAGUACCGCCGGUCCAGCAGCUUCUCCGGCCAGGACUUGACAGCGCACCUCCGAGCCCUUCUCCCCAUCCGACUCCCUCCGACAACUGGUGCUGCUACUGUAGGGGCCGCAGUUUUCAGAAGCUAUGCUAUGCUACUGAAGCAUCUAGUCAGGUACAGCUAGUUCCUUGUACUGAUGUGCUGUUGAUUUAUGAACUACCAUGGUUAGUCUGGCUAGCACUUCUAGAUUUUUUUUUUUCAUAUAUAAUAAUGAUGUCUUGGAGUACUGAAUCCUAAAUGCUCAAUGUUGGUAGUACGAAUUGGUAAUCUUCUGUUUGUACCAUGCUAUUUGAUACUGCAUACCUGUUUGUUAAAUAUAUUCCUGGUGUAAUUUUCUACUGCCUACAUUUGAAUAAUUGACUGCAAAGGGCUGUUUGCUUGAUACAUUGUUUAUGUUGCUACAUUAUAUUCAGUCACGAUAGUGUUUGUGUGAUUUUAAUGUGUAAAUUUCUGUUAACUAGCAAAAAGAGAUUCUUGUCCUGUAGAUGUUUGAGUGCUGCCAUCUAGCAGUUGAAAUUCUCCUUUCGUUGCCAAACUAAGACUCCAUGACAGCAGCCAAUAAAUUACUUGCAGUCUGCCACUAGUAGUAAUAUGGUUUUGUUGACAGGUUCAAAUUUGCUGGUGUUUCUCAUUGAUGUUAAAGCUAGUUUUUGUGGUUUGUACGAUUUAGAGCAGAUUUUGUUUAGGUAAACUAGUUCUUAUCUCUGUUCUUGUGCUAAUUCUGGUUAUAGAAUUGAUAAGAAUAGAGUUUGCUGUACUAACCUGGAAUUGUUCUUCAAGGGACUAAGCUGUAACGAACAGGUGCGCACUACUUGUAAGCUGGAUGAUCUAAAUAUAUCUGGGAACAUGAAGUCUUCUUUGGUUCGCGUUUUUUUAUAAUAUCAAGUGCGCCUUUAUCAUGAAAAAAUCGUCAUCUUACCUCUGAUACAUCCUUGCAUUCUUUUUGUUUUUAUUAUACAUGUUGAAUUAGCUCCAUCGAAGCCUUAAUCGAGCUAAGACAAGUGCCAGAUGGCACUUGUCUAGCUGCUGUUUUUUUUUUGUGUCGUGUUCAUUUG